rnacentral:rRNA from 2 species
AGUAACGGCGAGUGAAGCGGCAACAGCUCAAAUUUGAAAUCUGGCGCAAGCCCGAGUUGUAAUUUGUAGAGGAUGUUUCGGGUACCGCCUCGGUUUAAAUUUCUUGGAACAGAAUGUCAAAGAGGGUGAGAAUCCCGUCUUGGACCGGCGGUAGGGCCCAUGUGAAACUCCUUCGACGAGUCGAGUUGUUUGGGA